rnacentral:rRNA from 1 species
UACGGAGGGGGCUAGCGUUGUUCGGAAUUACUGGGGGUAAAGCGCACGUAGGCGGACUGGAAAGUCAGGGGUGAAAUCCCGGGGCUCAACCCCGGAACUGCCUUUGAAACUCCCAGUCUUGAGGUCGAGAGAGGUGAGUGGAAUUCCCAGUGUAGAGGUGAAAUUCGUAGAUAUUCGGAGGAACACCAGUGGCGAAGGCGGCUCACUGGCUCGAUACUGAAGCUGAGGUGCGAAAUCGUGGGGAGCAAACAGG